AACGAACGCUGGCGGCAUGCCUAACACAUGCAAGUCGAACGAGACCUUCGGGUCUAGUGGCGCACGGGUGCGUAACGCGUGGGAAUCUGCCCUUGGGUUCGGAAUAACAGUUGGAAACGACUGCUAAUACCGGAUGAUGACGUAAGUCCAAAGAUUUAUCGCCCAAGGAUGAGCCCGCGUAGGAUUAGCUAGUUGGUGAGGUAAAGGCUCACCAAGGCGACGAUCCUUAGCUGGUCUGAGAGGAUGCACAGCCACACUGGGACUGAGACACGGCCCAGACUCCAGCGAGCGGCAGCGGAGGGGAAAAUUGGGCCGGGGGCCAAAGGCUGCAACGCCACGUCCGGGAUGAGGACGAACGGUUUGGGGUUCGAAUGCUCUUUUACCCGGGCUGAAAAGACCGUAACGGGGAAAAAAACCCCGGGUUACUACGUU
rnacentral:rRNA from 1 species